AUGCCCGCACCGAUCCCGUUGCUGUGGAAGAUCUCAUGCAUGCCUGCACUGAUCCCGCGGCUGAUUCGUUGGCGGACCCUGGCUCCUCAUUCGCCACCCCCACCGGAGAUCCCGAGGCAGAUCCGAGGCCCACGCCUGCUCCAUGCGCCACGCCUGGCGCCUCCCUAUUGGCCGAGGCCGUUCCACCCAUGCAGCUGCACCAUGCAGGCUCCGCACCGCCUGAUCUCCGCACCUUCGUCUGCACCAUGCAAAUGCAGAUCGACCGCGUUCUCCCCGCGCUUGCAUCACGUCGACGCCGCAAUGAGGUGCCACCCAACUUCACUCCGAGGAGAAGCGGGCGAAUCGCCAAGGCCGAUCGGGGCUUGGACUCCGAGAUGA
rnacentral:rRNA from 1 species